rnacentral:ncRNA from 1 species
UGACCUCGGUUCAGACGUGAUUACCCGCUGAACUUAAGCAUAUCACUAAGCGGAGGAAAAGAAACUAACAAGGAUUCCCUUAGCCAAGGCGAUUAAAAUGAGGUAAGCUGUGGUAAUCGGGAUAGAAUUGAAUUUAGGAAUACGAGAAUCCGUACUGUACUGCUCAGAACU